rnacentral:rRNA from 1 species
CAAUAGCGUAUAUUAAAGUUGUUGCAGUUAAAAAGCUCGUAGUUGAAUUUUUGUUUGCCGCCGAUGUCGGAACUUCCGUACGUUCGGCGGCGUGCAUCCUUGGGUGGAACCUGUGUGGCAUUAGGUUGUCGUGCAGGGGAUGCUCAUCGUUUACUGUGAAAAAAUUAGAGUGUUCAAAGCAGGCUUACGCCGUUGAAUAUAUUAGCAUGGAAUAAUAAGAUAGGACCUUGGUACUAUUUUGUUGGUUUGCGCACCGAGGUAAUGAUUAACAGGGACAGUUGGGGGUAUUCGUAUUCCAUUGUCAGAGGUGAAAUUCUUGGAUUUCUGGAAGACGAACUACUGCGAAAGCAUUUACCAAGGAUGUUUUCAUUAA